AGAGUUUGAUCCUGGCUCAGGAUGAACGCUAGCUACAGGCUUAACACAUGCAAGUCGAGGGGAAACGACAUCGAAAGCUUGCUUUUGAUGGGCGUCGACCGGCGCACGGGUGAGUAACGCGUAUCCAACCUGCCCACCACUUGGGGAUAACCUUGCGAAAGUAAGACUAAUACCCAAUGAUAUCUCUAGAAGACAUCUGAAAGAGAUUAAAGAUUUAUCGGUGAUGGAUGGGGAUGCGUCUGAUUAGCUUGUUGGCGGGGUAACGGCCGACCAAGGCGACGGAUCAGUAGGGGUUCUGAGAGGAAGGGUCCCCCACAUUGGAACCUGAGACACGGUCCAAACUCCUACGGGAGGCA
rnacentral:rRNA from 1 species